rnacentral:rRNA from 1 species
GAUGAACGCUGGCGGCGUGCCUAAUACAUGCAAGUCGAGCGAACGGACGAGAAGCUUGCUUCUCUGAUGUUAGCGGCGGACGGGUGAGUAACACGUGGAUAACCUACCUAUAAGACUGGGAUAACUUCGGGAAACCGGAGCUAAUACCGGAUGAUAUUUUGAACCGCAUGGUUCAAAAGUGAAAGACGGUCUUGCUUUCACUUAUCGAUGGAUCCGCGCUGCCUUAGCUAGUUGGUAAGGUAACGGCUUACCAAGGCAACGAUGCAUAGCCGACCUGAGAGGGUGAUCGGCCACACUGGAACUGAGACACGGUCCAGACUCCUACGGGAGGCAGCAGUAGGGAAUCUUCCGCAAUGGGCGAAAGCCUGACGGAGCAACGCCGCGUGAGUGAUGAAGGUCUUCGGAUCGUAAAACUCCGUUAUUAGGGAAGAAUAGAUGUGUAAGUAACUGUGCACAUCUUGACGGUACCUAAUCAGAAAGCCACGGCUAACUACGUG